GGACGAACGCUGGCGGGCGUGCUUAAACACAUGCAAAGUCGAACGGAAAAGGGCCCUUCGGGGGUACUCGAGUGGCGAAACGGGGGUGAGUAAACACGUGGGGUGAUCUGCCCCUGCACUUUGGGAUAAGCCUGGGAAACUGGGUCCUAAUACGAAUAUGAUCAUUGGCUUCAUGGCUGGUGGUGGAAAGCUUUUGCGGUGUGGGAUGGGCCCGCGGCCUAUCAGCUUGUUGGUGGGGUAAUGGCCUACCAAGGCGACGACGGGUAGCCGGCCUGAGAGGGUGACCGGCCACACUGGGACUGAGAUACGGCCCAGACUCCUACGGGAGGCAGCAGUGGGGAAUAUUGCACAAUGGGCGCAAGCCUGAUGCAGCGACGCCGCGUGAGGGAUGACGGCCUUCGGGUUGUAAACCUCUUUCAGCACAGACGAAGCGCAAGUGACGGUAUGUGCAGAAGAAGGACCGGCCAACUACGUGC
rnacentral:rRNA from 1 species